CGCGGCCUAUCAGCUUGUUGGUGAGGUAAUGGCUCACCAAGGCGACGACGGGUAGCCGGCCUGAGAGGGUGACCGGCCACACUGGGACUGAGACACGGCCCAGACUCCUACGGGAGGCAGCAGUGGGGAAUAUUGCACAAUGGGCGCAAGCCUGAUGCAGCGACGCCGCGUGAGGGAUGACGGCCUUCGGGUUGUAAACCUCUUUCAGUAGGGAAGAAGCGAAAGUGACGGUACCUGCAGAAGAAGCGCCGGCUAACUACGUGCCAGCAGCCGCGGUAAGACGUAGGGCGCGAGCGUUGUCCGGAUUUAUUGGGCGUAAAGAGCUCGUAGGCGGCUUGUCGCGUCGACUGUGAAAACCCGCAGCUCAACUGCGGGCUUGCAGCCGAUACGGGCAGGCUAGAGUUCGGUAGGGGAGACUGGAAUUCCUGGUGUAGCGGUGAAAUGCGCAGAUAUCAGGAUGAACACCGAUGGCGAAGGCAGGUCUCUGGGCAUUAACUGACGCUGAGGAGCGAAAGCAUGGGGAGCGAACAGGAUUGGAUACCCUGGUAGUCCAUGCCGUAAACGUUGGGCACUAGGUGUGGGGGACAUUCCACGUUUUCCGCGCCGUAGCUAACGCAUUAAGUGCCCCGCCUGGGGAGUACGG
rnacentral:rRNA from 1 species